AUAAGCGGAGGAAAAGAAACCAACAGGGAUUGCCUCAGUAACGGCGAGUGAAGCGGCAACAGCUCAAAUUUGAAAUCUGGCCCCCCGGGUCCGAGUUGUAAUUUGCAGAGGAUGCUUUUGGCGCGGUGCCUUCCGAGUUCCCUGGAACGGGACGCCAUAGAGGGUGAGAGCCCCGUACGGUUGGACACCAAGCCUGUGUAAAGCUCCUUCGACGAGUCGAGUAGUUUGGGAAUGCUGCUCAAAAUGGGAGGUAUAUUUCUUCUAAAGCUAAAUACCGGCCAGAGACCGAUAGCGCACAAGUAGAGUGAUCGAAAGAUGAAAAGCACUUUGAAAAGAGGGUUAAACAGCACGUGAAAUUGUUAAAAGGGAAGCGCUUGUGACCAGACUUGCGCCCGGUGAAUCACCCAGCUCUCGCGGCUGGGGCACUUUGCCGGCUCAGGCCAGCAUCAGCUCGCCGUCGGGGACAAAAGCUUCGGGAACGUAGCUCUCUUCGGGGAGUGUUAUAGCCCGCUGCACAAUACCCUUCGGCGGGCUGAGGUACGCGCUCCGCAAGGAUGCUGGCGUAAUGGUCAUCAGCGACCCGUCUUGAAACACGGACCAUGGAGUCAACCUUAUGUGCGA
rnacentral:rRNA from 1 species